rnacentral:misc_RNA from 1 species
ACAUCUCAACUCCUCACGGUUUGCCUGUGAUGAGCUUGGACUUUGGGGGUCUUGCCGGCCUGUGGGUCGGCUCCUCUCAAACAAAUCAGCUUGCCAGUGUUUGGUGGCGUCACAGGUGUGAUAACUAUCUACACUUGUGGUUUUCUGCCAGGUAACCUCCGGCAAUGGGGGUUCACUGGAGCUCACAAAUGUCUCUCCUCGGUGAGGACAGCUCUUUGAAC